UACGUAGGGGGCUAGCGUUGUCCGGAAUCAUUGGGCGUAAAGCGCGUGUAGGCGGUCCGGUAAGUCCGCUGUGAAAGUCGAGGGCUCAACCUCGAAUGCCGGUGGAUACUGUCGGGCUUGAGUACGGGAGAGGCGAGUGGAAUUCCUGGUGUAGCGGUGAAAUUCGUAGAUAUCGGGAGGAAUACCAGUGGCGAAGGCGGCGACCUGGGCCAAUACUGGACGCUGAGGUGCGAAAGCGUGGGGAGCAAACAGG
rnacentral:rRNA from 1 species